AGGCUGCAACUCGCCUGCAUGAAGGCGGAAUUGCUAGUAAUGGCAGGUCAGCAUACUGCCGUGAAUACGUUCCCGGGCCUUGUACACACCGCCCGUCACACCAUGAGAGUUGGGAAUACCCGAAGCCUGUGAGCUAACGUUAAGAGGCAGCAGUCGAAGGUAGAAUCAAUGAUUGGGGUGAAGUCGUAACAAGGUAUC
rnacentral:rRNA from 1 species